AACGAACGCUGGCGGCGCGUCUUAAGCAUGCAAGUCGAGCGGCAAGCGGUAGCAAUAUCGCCUAGAGCGGCGGACUGGUGAGUAACACGUGGGUGAUCUGCCUCUGGGAUGGGGAUAGCCUGUGGAAACACAGGAUAAUACCACAUACGUUGGCUGGGCUGCGGCCCAGUCAGGAAAGGUCCGUUUGGACCGCCCGGAGCUGAGCCCGCGGCUGAUUAGCUAGUUGGCGGGGUAAUGGCCCACCAAGGCGAUGAUCAGUAGGCGGCCUGAGAGGGUGUACGCCCACAUUGGGACUGAGAUACGGCCCAAACUCCUGCGGGAGGCAGCAGCUAAGAAUAUUCCGCAAUGGACGAAAGUCUGACGGAGCGACGCCGCGUGGAUGACGAAGGCCGAAAGGUUGUAAAAUCCUUUUGCUGGUGAAGAAUAAGCAUGGGAGGAAAUGCCCGUGUGAUGACAUGAACCGGUGAAUAAGCCCCGGCAAACUACGUGCCAGCAGCCGCCGCCG
rnacentral:rRNA from 1 species